CAAGAGUCAGGAUAUUGUAUUUUGAAACAUCUGGAGGACCCUGUGAUGAGGAAAGCUGGUAUACAGGAGGAAAACUAACUAUUGAAUGGGAUUGCCUCUGAAGACUACCAGCAUGGAAACAACCAUAACCUUGAACACGUCCACCCCUGUUGAUGGAUAAGGGCUGUUUCAACAGAAUGAACACCUGUUUUGUGAGUGCUGCGUUAGCUGCAUAGAAGUUUCCAGCUGUGGGCCUCUGACUUCAAACUGCAAAUCCGAAUUGCCAGUUGUUACUACAGGGACCUGUCCUCUGGAAUUGAGUUACCUGCAUCCUAUGGAAUCAAAGGAGCCUAACUGACCAUACAUUUAAAAGCAAGAUCUUUGGACCAAGGAUGAUUUGGGGAA